UCCUUGGAGUGCCUCGCCACAAAGCAGAGG
rnacentral:piRNA from 1 species